rnacentral:rRNA from 1 species
UACAGAGGGGGGCAAGCGUUGUUCGGAAUUACUGGGCGUAAAGAGCGCGCAGGCGGUCGUUUCAAGUCGAGUGUGAAAGCCCCCCGGCUCAACUGGGGGAGGGUCACUCGAUACUGAUCGACUCGAAGGCAGAAGAGGGAAGCGGAAUUCCCGGUGUAGCGGUGGAAUGCGUAGAGAUCGGGAAGAACAUCAGUGGCGAAGGCGGUCUGCUGGGCCGUUGCUGACGCUGAGGCGCGACAGCGUGGGGAGCAAACAGG